UCUUCUUCUGUUUCUUCUUUCUUUGGUUCGACGUUGUAAUUUCUAGGGUUCAAAUUUAGGAUUAGAAAAAUGCAAAAUCUAAGAAAAUUUUGUCAUUGUGGUGAAGAGGUUGUGGUAACACAGUCAUGGAAUUUUAAUAAUUAUGGUUGUUGAUUUUACGGAUGCAAAUUUAUGAGGUAAAUAUUAAUUGUACUAUUCUAAUCGAUUAUUUUCUUUAAUAAUUUUUCUCUUCGAUUUUCAAAGGUACAGUGGCUCGGGAUGUAAUUCCUUCGUAUGGUUUGAUUCCCCAGCUCUAGAGCACUUGAAAAUUGUGAUCUUGGUACUGCUUAAGAAGAAGAGGGUGUUCAAUACAUUAUUGAAGAAAAAUAUAAUCAAAUAAAUUGGAGGAGAUUGUGUGUAUUGAUUUUAAUUGUAAUUAUAUUGAGGUUG
rnacentral:lncRNA from 1 species